rnacentral:rRNA from 1 species
UUAAGCGACUAAGCGUACACGGUGGAUGCCCUGGCAGUCAGAGGCGAUGAAGGACGUGCUAAUCUGCGAUAAGCGUCGGUAAGGUGAUAUGAACCGUUAUAACCGGCGAUUUCCGAAUGGGGAAACCCAGUGUGAUUCGUCACACUAUCAUUAACUGAAUCCAUAGGUUAAUGAGGCGAACCGGGGGAACUGAAACAUCUAAGUACCCCGAGGAAAAGAAAUCAACCGAGAUUCCCCAAGUAGCGGCGAGCGAACGGGGAGCAGCCCAGAGCCUGAAUCAGUGUGUGUGUUAGUGGAAGCGUCUGGAAAGGCGCGCGAUACAGGGUGACAGCCCCGUACACAAAAAUGCACAUGCUGUGAGCUCGAUGAGUAGGGCGGGACACGUGGUAUCCUGUCUGAAUAUGGGGGGACCAUCCUCCAAGGCUAAAUACUCCUGACUGACCGAUAGUGAACCAGUACCGUGAGGGAAAGGCGAAAAGAACCCCGGCGAGGGGAGUGAAAAAGAACCUGAAACCGUGUACGUACAAGCAGUGGGAGCACGCUUAGGCGUGUGACUGCGUACCUUUUGUAUAAUGGGUCAGCGACUUAUAUUCUGUAGCAAGGUUAACCGAAUAGGGGAGCCGAAGGGAAACCGAGUCUUAACUGGGCGUUAAGUUGCAGGGUAUAGACCCGAAACCCGGUGAUCUAGCCAUGGGCAGGUUGAAGGUUGGGUAACACUAACUGGAGGACCGAACCGACUAAUGUUGAAAAAUUAGCGGAUGACUUGUGGCUGGGGGUGAAAGGCCAAUCAAACCGGGAGAUAGCUGGUUCUCCCCGAAAGCUAUUUAGGUAGCGCCUCGUGAAUUCAUCUCCGGGGGUAGAGCACUGUUUCGGCAAGGGGGUCAUCCCGACUUACCAACCCGAUGCAAACUGCGAAUACCGGAGAAUGUUAUCACGGGAGACACACGGCGGGUGCUAACGUCCGUCGUGAAGAGGGAAACAACCCAGACCGCCAGCUAAGGUCCCAAAGUCAUGGUUAAGUGGGAAACGAUGUGGGAAGGCCCAGACAGCCAGGAUGUUGGCUUAGAAGCAGCCAUCAUUUAAAGAAAGCGUAAUAGCUCACUGGUCGAGUCGGCCUGCGCGGAAGAUGUAACGGGGCUAAACCAUGCACCGAAGCUGCGGCAGCGACGCUUAUGCGUUGUUGGGUAGGGGAGCGUUCUGUAAGCCUGCGAAGGUGUGCUGUGAGGCAUGCUGGAGGUAUCAGAAGUGCGAAUGCUGACAUAAGUAACGAUAAAGCGGGUGAAAAGCCCGCUCGCCGGAAGACCAAGGGUUCCUGUCCAACGUUAAUCGGGGCAGGGUGAGUCGACCCCUAAGGCGAGGCCGAAAGGCGUAGUCGAUGGGAAACAGGUUAAUAUUCCUGUACUUGGUGUUACUGCGAAGGGGGGACGGAGAAGGCUAUGUUGGCCGGGCGACGGUUGUCCCGGUUUAAGCGUGUAGGCUGGUUUUCCAGGCAAAUCCGGAAAAUCAAGGCUGAGGCGUGAUGACGAGGCACUACGGUGCUGAAGCAACAAAUGCCCUGCUUCCAGGAAAAGCCUCUAAGCAUCAGGUAACAUCAAAUCGUACCCCAAACCGACACAGGUGGUCAGGUAGAGAAUACCAAGGCGCUUGAGAGAACUCGGGUGAAGGAACUAGGCAAAAUGGUGCCGUAACUUCGGGAGAAGGCACGCUGAUAUGUAGGUGAAGUCCCUCGCGGAUGGAGCUGAAAUCAGUCGAAGAUACCAGCUGGCUGCAACUGUUUAUUAAAAACACAGCACUGUGCAAACACGAAAGUGGACGUAUACGGUGUGACGCCUGCCCGGUGCCGGAAGGUUAAUUGAUGGGGUCAGCGCAAGCGAAGCUCUUGAUCGAAGCCCCGGUAAACGGCGGCCGUAACUAUAACGGUCCUAAGGUAGCGAAAUUCCUUGUCGGGUAAGUUCCGACCUGCACGAAUGGCGUAAUGAUGGCCAGGCUGUCUCCACCCGAGACUCAGUGAAAUUGAACUCGCUGUGAAGAUGCAGUGUACCCGCGGCAAGACGGAAAGACCCCGUGAACCUUUACUAUAGCUUGACACUGAACAUUGAGCCUUGAUGUGUAGGAUAGGUGGGAGGCUUGGAAGUGUGGACGCCAGUCUGCAUGGAGCCGACCUUGAAAUACCACCCUUUAAUGUUUGAUGUUCUAACGUUGACCCGUAAUCCGGGUUGCGGACAGUGUCUGGUGGGUAGUUUGACUGGGGCGGUCUCCUCCUAAAGAGUAACGGAGGAGCACGAAGGUUGGCUAAUCCUGGUCGGACAUCAGGAGGUUAGUGCAAUGGCAUAAGCCAGCUUGACUGCGAGCGUGACGGCGCGAGCAGGUGCGAAAGCAGGUCAUAGUGAUCCGGUGGUUCUGAAUGGAAGGGCCAUCGCUCAACGGAUAAAAGGUACUCCGGGGAUAACAGGCUGAUACCGCCCAAGAGUUCAUAUCGACGGCGGUGUUUGGCACCUCGAUGUCGGCUCAUCACAUCCUGGGGCUGAAGUAGGUCCCAAGGGUAUGGCUGUUCGCCAUUUAAAGUGGUACGCGAGCUGGGUUUAGAACGUCGUGAGACAGUUCGGUCCCUAUCUGCCGUGGGCGCUGGAGAACUGAGGGGGGCUGCUCCUAGUACGAGAGGACCGGAGUGGACGCAUCACUGGUGUUCGGGUUGUCAUGCCAAUGGCACUGCCCGGUAGCUAAAUGCGGAAGAGAUAAGUGCUGAAAGCAUCUAAGCACGAAACUUGCCCCGAGAUGAGUUCUCCCUGACUCCUUGAGAGUCCUGAAGGAACGUUGAAGACGACGACGUUGAUAGGCCGGGUGUGUAAGCGCAGCGAUGCGUUGAGCUAACCGGUACUAAUGAACCGUGAGGCUUAACCUU